UGACACUGCGCAAGUCCUCGGUUCGGAC
rnacentral:sRNA from 1 species